rnacentral:tRNA from 1 species
GGUGCCAUAGCGUAGUGGUAAAGUGCUCGAUUCCCAAACCAGUGGUCGUGGUCGAUUCUACCUGACACCU